rnacentral:misc_RNA from 1 species
UACAAUACAAAAAUUUUCAACUGCUGGAAACCCAGCAUUCCACAACUAAUCUCCUUGAACAAACCUGUACGAAGACCAUUCUGUUAGAUUCCAACUCCUUAGUAGUGCUCAGCCAUCAAUUCCUAGGUGUUUAGUGCAAGAAUUAUCUAGCUUGUGGUGCAAAUUUUGCUCAUGCUUGAUUCAUUUUGGAAAUAGAUGUCUGACAUUCAUAUAUUCACCUAAAUAUAAUUUAAUGGUAAACUUAAAAAUAGAUACCACUUUCACCUAAAUUCAAGUCAUUUCUAAAUAUAAAAUAAUUUAAAAAAG